rnacentral:rRNA from 1 species
GGGUUUGAUUAUGGCUCAGGAUGAACGCUGGCGGCGUGCUUAACACAUGCAAGUCGAACGAACCUUUCGGGGUGAGUGGCGGACGGGUGAGUAACGCGUGAGGAUCUGCCCUUAGGAGGGGGACAACUUUUGGAAACGGAAGCUAAUACCCCAUAUGUCGAGAGAUGAAACUUUUUGGCCUGAGGAUGAACUCGCGUCUGAUUAGCUAGUUGGUGGUGUAAUGGACUACCAAGGCGACGAUCAGUAGCUGUUCUGAGAGGAAGAUCAGCCACACUGGGACUGAGACACGGCCCAGACUCCUACGGGAGGCAGCAGUGGGGAAUUUUCCGCAAUGGGCGCAAGCCUGACGGAGCAACGCCGCGUGAGGGAGGAAUGUCUGUGGAUUGUAAACCUCUUUUCUCUAGGAAGAAGAUCUGACGGUACUAGAGGAAUCAGCAUCGGCUAACUCCGUGC